UGAAUACGAGACGCUAAGGCGUCGAAGUAGUGUAUGUCAUACUUCCAAGAAAAGCUUGCACUGUCAUAGAUAAAAAACGCCUGUACCAUAACCGACACAGGUGGGUAGUAGAGUAUACUAAGGGGCGCGAGAUAACUCUCUCUAAGGAACUCGGCAAAAUAACUCCGUAACUUCGGGAGAAGGAGUGCCUUAUUCGUAAGGUUGCAAUAACAAGAUCCAAGCAACUGUUUAUCAAAAACACAGGUCUCCGCUAAGUCGUAAGACGAUGUAUGGGGGCUGACGCCUGCCCAGUGCCAGAAGGUUAAAGAAGUUGGUUAGCAAUUGCGAAGCUGAUAACUGAAGCCCUGGUGAACGGCGGCCGUAACGAUAACGGUCCUAAGGUAGCGAAAUUCCUUGUCGGGUAAGUUCCGACCCGCACGAAAGGCGUAAUGAUUUGGAUACUGUCUCGGAGAGGGGCUCGGUGAAAUAGACUUGUCUGUGAAGAUGCGGACUACCUGCACCAGGACAGAAAGACCCUAUGAAGCUUUACUGUAACUUGAAAUUGAAAUUGGACUUUAUUCGCGCAGUAUAGGUGGGAGGCGUUGAUUAUAAUCUUGUGGGAUUAUUGGAGCCAUCAGUGAGAUACCACUCUUGUAAUGUUAGAUUUCUAACUUUGAAUCAUUAUCUGGUCAAAGAACAGUUUCAGGCGGGCAGUUUGACUGGGGCGGUCGCCUCCUAAACGGUAACGGAGGCGUACAAGGUUUCCUCUGAACGGUUAGAAAUCGUGUCUAGAGUGUAAAGGCAUAAGGAAGCUUGACUGUGAGACCUACAAGUCGAGCAGGGACGAAAGUCGGUCUUAGUGAUCUGACGGUACUGAGUGGAAAGGCCGUCACUCAACGGAUAAAAGUUACUCUAAGGAUAACAGGCUGAUCUCCCCCAAGAGUUCACAUCGACGGGGAGGUUUGGCACCUCGAUGUCGGCUCAUCGCAUCCUGGGGCGGUAGUACGUCCCAAGGGUUGGGCUGUUCGCCCAUGAAAGCGGUACGCGAGCUGGGUUCAGAACGUCGUGAGACAGUUCGGUCCAUAUCCGGUGUAGGCGUUAGAAUAUUGAGAGGAGCCUUCUUUAGUACGAGAGGACCGAGAAGGACAUACCUCUGGUGUACCAGUUAUCGUGCCAACGGUAAACGCUGGGUAGCUAUGUAUGGAGUGGAUAACCGCUGAAAGCAUCUAAGUGGGAAGCCCACCUCAAGAUAAG
rnacentral:rRNA from 1 species